CUCGACGAACUUUUUAAUCUAGUUAUUAUUAUUAUUAUUCUUUUUCUGAGCGGAAAAUUUUCUGACUCUAUCUCCUCCUAGAGUUUUAACUCCACAUACUCCAAACUCGGCACGGACACUCAAACUGUUCUGACUUAGUGUGCUAUAUCUUUUCUAACUGAUCGGACUUACGGUUCUCCUAAAAAUGACGAUCAAAG